rnacentral:rRNA from 1 species
UACAGAGGGUGCAAGCGUUGUUCGGAAUUAUUGGGCGUAAAGAGCGUGUAGGCGGCUUGGAAGGUCAGCUGUGAAAACUCGAGGCUCAACCUCGAGACGUCGGUUGAAACCACCUGGCUAGAGUCCGGAAGAGGAGAGUGGAAUUCCUGGUGUAGCGGUGAAAUGCGCAGAUAUCAGGAAGAAACACCCGUGGCUAAGGCGGCUCUCUAGUACGGUACUGACGCUGAGACGCGAAAGCGUGGGAGCGAACAGG